GCAUAAUAUAAUAUUAAGGAAAUACAUAUUUUACUGUAAGAGAAAAAGAACACUAGUAAUAAGUAAAAGCAGUUAAAGAAAAACCCUACGAUGUUAAAUUUGAGGUGGAAAGAUCAGUUUGAACUCAUGAUUGUUUUAAAAAUGAGUUUCCAGUUUCUGUUCGCUGACAGAUCUAGAAGCAAAAACAUUCCUGUAGCAGUGAACACACAUCACACUGUGUGCUCUUCUUUUCUAGCCGUCGUUCCCCACUAAGGGAGCCAGGACUCCUUGAAGACAUGGUUAUUUCUGGGUCUGGGGCUAAAAACAUACAGCAUGAGUCCUCUGCAGAGUAUCCUGUGGUGCCAAGGGAUGCGGGAGCUUACCUGAAAGACCUCCAUGGCUCGCUGUGGGACCACAUGAACACCAAAAGGGAUAAUGAGAGUGUCCACUUCGAACACAUUUUUUUAAAGAUUUUAUUUAUUUAUUCAUGAGAAACACAGAAAGAGAGAGAGGCAGAGACACAGGCAAAGGGAGAAGCAGGCUCCAUGCAGGGAGCCCGAUGUGGGACUCGAUCCCCGGUCUCCAGGACCAGGCCCUGGGCUGAAGGUGGCGCUAAACCGCUGAGCCACCCAGGCUGCCUCACAUUUUUUUUAAAUCCAUGAAUCCACAGUGAUUUUUUUUUUUUUUUUUUUUAGGGGAAAAAGAUGGGGUAAAUUCCAGCUCGUAAAUGUGGAAGGAAUCAAAGAAUGAACCACCACCGCUUGCAAUCAGGGCCCAACUGCUCUGGUCCUCCCUUGGGUCCCAGGACUGCACCACUGGGCUUGCUCUCCUCUGCCCUUGCUGUGGGAACCAGUCUGAAUUCUGCAACACAGGGUCCUGAGCAGCGAGCUUCACCUACCUGGCCUCUCCCCAAACGACACAGCUCCCACACUUCUGGCUCAGGUAAUCCAACCAGUAGCUUGGUGAGCUCCUUCUGCAGCAGAAAAGGUUAAGUCUGUCCAGUGUCCGGGUGGGCUUCAGGUUAGACAGACCAGACUGGAAUCCUUGCUCUGUCCCUUUCUGGCUACGUGACCUCGUAGUAGUUUCUUAUUGCUGCAAAUGACCACACUCUUAGCAUCUUAACACAGCGCAAACUGGCUAACCUACAGUUCUACAGGUUGGAAGUCCAACACAGCUCUCACUGGAUGAAAACCCAGGUGUUGGCUGCGUUGAACUAUGUUCCUUUCUGAAAUCUCUGAAAAUCCAUUUCUGCUCUAGACCGAAUGCUUGUCUCAAAAAUUCACAUGUUGAAAUCCCAAACCCUAACGUGAUGGUAUUUAGAACUGGGGCCUUUGGAGGUGAUUAGGUCUUGAGGGUGGAUGGGAUUAGUGCCCUUCCAAAAGAGAUCCCAGGGAGCUUCCCGACCCUUUCUACCAUGCAAGGACACAGCAAGAAGAGGACUAUCUAUGAACCAGGAAAUGGGUUCUUGCCAGACACUAAAUCUGCUGGCACCUUAAUCUUAGACUUCCCAGCCUCCAGAACUAUGAGAAUUACAUUUCCGUUGCUUAUAAGCACCCUGGUGUGUGAUAUUUUGUCAUAGCAGCCCAAGACGACUAAGACAGUUCUCUCGCCUUUUCCAGCCUCCGCAUUCCUUGGCACCUGGCCUCUCUCCUCCAUCCUUAAAGCCAACACUCUUGGUGUUCCUCUAUAGCCACAUCUCCCUCUGACUCAUCCUUUCCGCCUCCCUUUUAGAACCAUUGGGCCUACCUAGAUAAUCCAAAAUAAUCUCCCUAUUUUAAAGUGAGGGACUAGCAACCACAAUUCCAUCUGGAACUUUAAUUCACCUUUGUCAGGUAACCUAACAAAAUCACAGGUUAUAGGAUUAGGACAUGGGACGCACCUUUGAGGGACAUUCUGCUGCCUACCAUGACCUAUAGUAAUUAUAUAACCUCCAAGACUCUGUUUCUUUUCCUUUUUUAAAACUUAAAUUCAGCUAAUUCACAUAUAGUAUAUUAUGAGUUUCAAGUUUCAGAGGUGGAGUACCUGGUGCUCAUUAAAUCUCGUGCCCUCCUUCAUGCCCAUCACCCAGUUACCCCAUCCUUGCAUCUCCCUCCCCUGCGACCUUCAGUUCAUUUCCUAUGGUUAAGAAUCUCUUAUGGUUUGUCUCCCCCUCUGAUUUCAUCUUGUUUUUUCUUUUCUUCUCUUCUCCUGUGCUCCUCUGUUUUGUUUCUUAAAUUCUGCCUAUGAGAUCAUAUGACAGUUGUCUUUCUCUGAGUGACUUAUUUCGCUUAGCAUAAUAUCCUCUAGUUCCACCCACAUCAUUACAAAUGGCAAGAUUUCUUUUUUGAUGGCUGAGUAAUAUUCCAUUGUAUAUAUAUCCCACAUUUUCUUUAUCCAUUCAUCUGUCAACAGACAUCUGGGCUCUUUCCAUAGUUUGGCUAUUGUAGACAUUGCUGCUAUAAACAUUGGGGUGCAGGUGCCCCUUCAGAUCACUACAGAUGUUUUUUU
rnacentral:lncRNA from 1 species